rnacentral:lncRNA from 1 species
UAUGAAUCUCCUUCAAUCCUUUUCCCUUUUGAUCUCUUAGGAGCCAUUUUCUAGACAAGAUGAUAAAAGAAAUAUGAAAUUGUAAUGAGUAGGUAAAACAAGAAGAAAGGGAAGGGAAGAUUUUACCUUAUAGAGUGUUUCUUGGAGGAUGGAGAGCUUGGACCAACAAGAAUCCCUCUCCAAGGUUUGUAGAGGUUAGAAUGAGGGAUUGAGAGAG